rnacentral:rRNA from 1 species
UACGAAGGGGGCUAGCGUUGCUCGGAAUCACUGGGCGUAAAGGGUGCGUAGGCGGGUCUUUAAGUCAGGGGUGAAAUCCUGGAGCUCAACUCCAGAACUGCCUUUGAUACUGAAGAUCUUGAGUUCGGGAGAGGUGAGUGGAACUGCGAGUGUAGAGGUGAAAUUCGUAGAUAUUCGCAAGAACACCAGUGGCGAAGGCGGCUUUCUGGUCUGUAACUGACGCUGAGGCGCGAAAGCGUGGGGAGCAAACAGG